rnacentral:rRNA from 1 species
AUUAAACGCUGGCGGCAUGCCUUACACAUGCAAGUCGAACGGCAGCACGGGGGCGAACCUUGGUGGCGAGUGGCGAACGGGUGAGUAAAGCAUCGGAACGUGCCCUGGAGUGGGGGAGUAACGUAGCGAAAGUUACGCUAAUACCGCAUAUUCUGUGAGCAGGAAAGCAGGGGAUCGCAAGACCUUGCGCUCUGGGAGCGGCCGAUGUCGGAUUAGCUAGUUGGUGGGGUAAAGGCCUACCAAGGCGGCGAUCCGUAGCGGGUCUGAGAGGAUGAUCCGCCACACUGGGACUGAGACACGGCCCAGACUCCUACGGGAGGCAGCAGUGGGGAAUUUUGGACAAUGGGCGAAAGCCUGAUCCAGCCAUGCCGCGUG